AAUACAUUUAGAUAUGUGCUAACAAUUCUAGCUAACAAUUAUACUAUUUAGAGCUGCCUCUAAACAGCUGCGCGGAAUAAUAACUGGAAAAUCAUAAAAAACAUGCAAAAAGAGAGGAUUAGCCCAUAUAUAACUUAUAUGACGUGGUGAUGGUGAACCAAAUGUUGCAAAGCAAAUAUAUAAUUAAUCUUAAUCUUAAAGGACUCAUAUGAUUCCAGUGCACAAUACUUUUGUAGUUA